UGCAUCAAAUUAAACAACGGAAUCCCAAAAGCAGCUGUGCUGAUAAAAAUUCAGCUGCAGUUGGGAUCCGUUAACUGAUUUCUUGCAU